GCUCGACCGUGCACUUUGGCCCAGUGAAUCAGGCCCACAUACCCGUACGCAUCUGCCUCCUCAACUCGAACCCUCGCCUUUGCCCUUGCCGAGCCCUCGCCGCCGCCACACCUCAGCCCCCUCGCCGCCACGGCAGCACCUCAGCCCGCUCGCCUCCGCGUUCGCGUGUCAGCCCGCUGGACAUCCCCGCCUCGGCGGUCACACCUCUGCCCGCUCGCCGCCCCCGUCGCAACCCAACUCCUCCAAUGGAUGCCGCCCGAACUACAUCAUCCAAUAGGACGCCGUCCGUGGCGUCACGAAGUUGCUGGCGUCGCCCAGUUCGCCAUGGGUGAAGGUGCCUCAGACGCAAGCAAAGCUGUAGCUUCCUCAACGUAUGCCUCACCAUGGGGCUCGCUGUGCUGCUGGCGGACAGCCGCGGCCCCUCUGGUGUGGUGCGAGACUUCCAGAUCACCCGGCGGCUGGGGUUGGAGGAUGGCAUUCCCACGACUCCUCAUCGGGGGUGAGCGUGGCAUGGAGCAGCAAGCCCAUAGCUCCCUCAACCAUCAUGCUAAUCUCUUCUUGUUAUUCAUCCUGAAUCUAUGGUGCACAUACAGUACAUGCUUAUGUAUUGUCUCAAUGAUUAUCCUAUUUUUUUAGGAUUCAACUUGCGUUUUGUGCAAUUUCAUAUACUCAAUCAAUAAAUUCUUAGUUUUUUUGCAGGAUUUGUGUUUGUUCGGAUGCUUAGGUGCAGCUGCAUAAGGGAAUUGGCCGACGGUGUGCAAUACAUAGACAAAGCAAAAGUCAGUAUGGAGCAAAUGCGAGUUCGGUUGCUCUUCUGACAAUUUCACCUUGAUUUUGUUGUUAGUGACUGAUUGAGGCGUCACUCCCACCACGGUGGUGACGGCAACCUUCCACCUCCAGCCGCUGUGGCCGUAGCGUACCGCUCCAAUGCCAUCUGACACAACCGUCUUGUGGUGGAGGAGGGCCACCUCGAACACAUUGGGAAGCGGUGAGCGUGGGCUUCACCACAUGUUCUGCCGAGUCAUCGAUGUCAGUUUCUAGGUUUGUGAGUGCACUGUCUGGUGCUUCUUUUUACGAUGUCUGUCAACACAAGCACAUCGUGUUCCAAGUAUGAACGGAGAGAGUGCUCCCAUUGGGUUCUACAUGUGGACAUUGUGGCCGGUGAGGCAUAACUGGAAGUUUCUCUGAUGGUCGACAACAAGGUACCCCACUGCUCUGAAUUUUUACAUGGUUAAUGUGAGUUGAAUCAUCAAAGGUCUGCACGUUGGUAAUGGUUGAAAAAUUUAUUGCAUUUGAGAAAAGUGAACAGUCUAUCAGUUCUCUAAUAAUACAUAUUAUAGAAUGUACCUUUCUGUCCGAUCGUAGGAUCACUGCACAAUAGGCUUUGGAGCAGGCUCUGAUUCACGGAGAACUCCCAGCAACCUCAUCUUUUGUGGAUAUUAGAUGGAUAUUGAAUCCAGUAAGCCUCCAAUUGAUAAACAAAGUCAAUUUUCUGUUGGUAGUUUGCAUGACAGGGUUCUAGCUAAUUUAUGAUUGUGCCUACAACAGACUACCUCUGCCUGAAGAUUUGAGGUGUGACUCAAAUUUCGUGCUGUUAGAAAUCAACAAUGGAGAUUUCAGUUUUUUUCAUGUAUAUUCGUACAGAUUUCAAGUUUAAUGGAUCAUUAAAUUUUAUUCUAUAAUCAGAUCUUGGUAUGUUUUCAGAUUUUUCAGAGAAGAAAGAAGUCUAGAGGCGUGGAUGUAUGUUUUUAGGGGGGAAUCAAGUCUGUAGAAUAUACACUAAUUUGAGGAAUUCAGAUGUUACCCUUGGUCAUACAGGGAAAGUGUGAAGCACUCUGGCUAAUUUUCCGCAUUUCUCAUCCAAGAAGCCGUUACAUUUAUGAUCUUUUCUAUAGAAGAAGGAAGUAUAUAUCUAAGGAGCUGUAUGAAUUUUGCCUGGACCAGGAUUAUGCAGACUGUAAUCUCAUUACAAAGUGGAAAAAUGUUAGUUGCCUCAGCUUUAUAUCAUUUGAGCUAGGGGCCAAGACGGAUGAGGUUGAUUUGGCUUGAUCAUGCCAAAGAAAUUUACUUCUUUUUCUGGAAAAUGAAAGCAUGUUUUAGAAGUUCAGGGUUAAGUUACCAAAUCUGAGCUUUAUAGCAAAGCAGAGGAUCAAGAAAAGCAGAAUAGGAUAAUAAAGGUUCACAUAGAUGUAGUAAUAUGUCACUAUCAGCUAGCUCAAGUAUGUAUGACUGUAGGAGCUCAGGAAUACUCUUACUAUGUCUUUGAUUUUGUUAAAGACCCAAUAUAUGAUGAGGUGCUGCCUCUCCUGAUGCCGAGCUGUUUAGAAUUUGGUAUUUCACAUUUUUUUCUCUGGCCAGUAAAUUUCACAAACAUAACUGCAGGCCAUCUGCUCCUGCGCAAUGAAACUGUUUCAAAAUUCA